GUUUUUCUUUCUGGCUUACUUCACUCUGUAUAAUAGGCUCCAGUUUCAUCCAUCUCAUUAGAACUGAUUCAAAUGUAUUCUUUUUAAUGGCUGAGUAAUACUCCAUUGUGUAUGUGUACCACAGCUUUCUUAUCCAUUCAUCUGCUGAUGGACAUCUAGGUUGUUUCCAUGUCCUGGCUAUUAUAAACAGUGCUGCGAUGAACAUUGGGGUACAUGUGUCUCUUUCAAUUCUGGUUUCCUCGGUGUGUAUGCCCAGAAGUGGGAUUGCUGGGUCAUAAGGUAGUUCUAUUUGCAAUUUUUUAAGGAAUCUCCACACUGUUCUCCAUAGUGGCUGUACUAGUUUGCAUUCCCACCAACAGUGUAGGAGGGUUCCCUUUACUCCACACCCUCUCCAGCAUUUAUUGCUUGCAAAAUUUUGGAUCGCAGC
ensembl:lncRNA